AACGAACGCUGGCGGCGCGCCUAAUACAUGCAAGUCGAGCGAGAAGGUGUAGCAAUACACUUGUAAAGCGGCGAACGGGUGAGGAAUACAUGGGUAACCUACCCUCGAGUGGGGAAUAACUAGCCGAAAGGUUAGCUAAUACCGCAUACGAUUCCAGGACUUCGGUCCUGGAAGGAAAGCACUACCGUGGGUAGUGCGCUCCUGGAUGGGCUCAUGUCCUAUCAGCUUGNGGUGAGGUAAAGGCUCACCAAGGCUUCGACGGGUAGCUGGUCUGAGAGGACGAUCAGCCACACUGGCACUGCGACACGGGCCAGACUCCUACGGGAGGCAGCAGUAAGGAAUAUUGCGCAAUGGGCGAAAAGCCUGACGCAGCGACGCCGCGUGGGGGAUGAAGGUCUUCGG
rnacentral:rRNA from 1 species